UACGUAGGGUGCGAGCGUUGUCCGGAAUUAUUGGGCGUAAAGAGCUCGUAGGCGGUCUGUCGCGUCGGUCGUGAAAAACUUGGGGCUUAACCCUGAGCUUGCGGUCGAUACGGGCAUGACUGGAGUUCGGUAGGGGAGACUGGAAUUCCUGGUGUAGCGGUGAAAUGCGCAGAUAUCAGGAGGAACACCGGUGGCGAAGGCGGGUCUCUGGGCCAUAACUGACGCUGAGAAGCGAAAGCAUGGGGAGCGAACAGG
rnacentral:rRNA from 1 species